rnacentral:rRNA from 1 species
GACGAACGCUGGCGGCGUGCCUAACACAUGCAAGUCGAACGGAGAACUUGAGGAAUGCGACUUCGGUCAAAUGAAACUUGUUCUUAGUGGCGGACGGGUGAGUAACACGUGAGCAACCUGCCCUUCAGAGGGGAAUAACAGUGAGAAAUCAUUGCUAAUACCGCAUAUGCUAACAGUAUCGCAUGAUACAGUUAGGAAAGGAGCAAUCCGCUAAUAGAUGGGCUUGCGUCUGAUUAGCUAGUUGGUGGGGUAACGGCCUACCAAGGCGACGAUCAGUAGCCGGACUGAGAGGUUGAACGGCCACAUUGGGACUGAGAUACGGCCCAG